GACGAACGCUGGCGGCAUGCCUAACACAUGCAAGUCGAACGGAGUUUUUCCCUUCGGGGAGGAACUUAGUGGCGAACGGGUGAGUAACGCGUGAGCAACCUGCCUUGGCGAGGGGGAUAACACUUGGAAACAGGUGCUAAUACCGCAUAAGACCACACUUCCGCAUGGGAGAGGGGUCAAAGGAGCAAUCCGCGCUGAGAGGGGCUCGCGUCCCAUUAGGUAGAUGGCGGGGCAACGGCCCACCAUGCCGACGAUGGGUAGCCGAGCUGAGAGGCUGAUCGGCCACACUGGAACUGAGACACGGUCCAGACUCCGACGGGAGGCAGCAGUGGGGAAUAUUGGGCAAUGGGCGAAAGCCUGACCCAGCAAUGCCGCGUGAGGGAUGAAGGUCUUCGGAUUGUAAACCUCUGUCCUUGGUGACGAAGGAAGUGACGGUAGCCAAGGAGGAAGCCCCGGCUAACUACGUGCCAGCCGCCGCAGUAAAAC
rnacentral:rRNA from 1 species